GGUUAACUUCGACUGGAUGCUUUGAUGCUUCUGAGAGGCAGGUAUGAGUCAUCACAUCAACAAAGAAAACAGAAACAGGACAUUAGUACCUACAGAAGCACAGCUAAAAUAUGAAGUCUGAUGAGUCACUUUGUAUAAAUUCCUUCCUUCUGCGUGUUGACAGAAUCCUGAGCUGCGUUUAACAAACAGAAACCGGGCAGGGAGGGAACUAGCUGCCCCUUGCUCUUAUUGCUAGACCCCAUCGGAGCCAACUGGAGAGAAGUGUCUCUUUCUGGCUUUGAAAUAGACAGUCUUCUCUGGUGAUAACACACUGAGGAAAUCUUCCUGAAGCUGGAGGAUCACUUUCACUGGAGCACCCUUUGAAUUGCUCCUACGACACAUUCCCUUCCUUUACAUCCUUUCAUUCCCGACAGACUUGGAGCCCAUGACAAGGUCCCACCCAGUGCCCCGCUACGGGAUUCUACACUCUCUAGAACUUUCUGGAGCCGGGCUGCCUCCCUAAACUCCGUGUGGUCCGAAUUCCGGUAAACAACGAAGGGCAUGUACGCACUUGUGAGCCUCCGAAGGUUAUGCCCCGUGCUUUCUCUUGGUGGGAAGCCCAGGGGGCUGGCCCCAUUUCAACCUCCAGCUCUUACUUUUACGACGAUGAUGAUGAUCACAGCCGUCUCCCUGGCGUCCCCGUGGGCACCCUGAGGCAGCCAGCCUGGGUGCUCUCCCGUUCCUAUGCUUUUCAUUUGAAAAAACAUGCAGGGGCACAUAGGCUUGGUCAAGAUAAUUAUAAAAGAAGAAGUUUUGAAUUUAAUUAAAUGCUCUCUAAUAAUCACACAGUUAGUUCAUUCGCAUAGUGUAUUGCAGCAUGCGAGAGGCGUUCCCCGUGCACUGUGCGGCGCAGGGUUUAGAUGCGAGGCCUGCUUCCAUGAGCACGUUGGUUCAGGCAGGGCCUUUCUUCAGCUUCCGUUAAAGUGGGACAGGCACUGAAUAUUGACUGUCGACUCUUACGGAUGCCAUCCCAUUUUUACGCUUCUCGUCUUUCCUUAAUCCAGUGCUCCUCCAAACCCCUUCUAGGUCUUUUAUAGCCUGUUAUUUCAGCCGGAGUUAGGAUUCAUGGUCAUGUACUUGUUAACUCCCUUAAUGAAGAGAUGCAUUGUUAUUGAUCUGUACAGAGUAUUCUUCAGUCUGGACUUGCCAACUUUCAGUGUAAGAGCAACGUGCAGGUGGGCUGGCUUCUCUUCUCAGAAACACCCUGUACCUCCAACAGAGCCUCACCCCACGAUGCACACACACGUGCAAAGGA